AUACGAAGGGGGCAAGCGUUGUUCGGAAUAACUGGGCGUAAAGCGCACGUAGGCGGAUUGAUCAGUUAGAGGUGAAAUCCCAGGGCUCAACCCUGGAACUGCCUUUAAUACUGUCAGUCUAGAGAUCGAGAGAGGUGAGUGGAAUUCCGAGUGUAGAGGUGAAAUUCGUAGAUAUUCGGAGGAACACCAGUGGCGAAGGCGGCUCACUGGCUCGAUACUGACGCUGAGGUGCGAAAGCGUGGGGAGCAAACAGGAUUAGAAACCCUAGUAGUCC
rnacentral:rRNA from 1 species